CCUACGGGUGGGCAGCAGUGGGGAAUAUUGGACAAUGGGGGCAACCCUGAUCCAGCCAUGCCGCGUGUGUGAAGAAGGCCCUCGGGUUGUAAAGCACUUUCAGUGAGGAAGAACGCCUGGUGGUUAAUACCCAUCAGGAAAGACAUCACUCACAGAAGAAGCACCGGCUAACUCCGUGCCAGCAGCCGCGGUAAUACGGAGGGUGCGAGCGUUAAUCGGAAUUACUGGGCGUAAAGCGCGCGUAGGUGGCUUGAUAAGCCGGUUGUGAAAGCCCCGGGCUCAACCUGGGAACGGCAUCCGGAACUGUCAAGCUAGAGUGCAGGAGAGGAAGGUAGAAUUCCCGGUGUAGCGGUGAAAUGCGUAGAGAUCGGGAGGAAUACCAGUGGCGAAGGCGGCCUUCUGGACUGACACUGACACUGAGGUGCGAAAGCGUGGGUAGCAAACAGGAUUAGAUACCCUGGUAGUC
rnacentral:rRNA from 1 species